GAUGAACGCUGGCGGCGUGCCUAAUACAUGCAAGUCGAGCGAACAGACGAGGAGCUUGCUCCUCUGACGUUAGCGGCGGACGGGUGAGUAACACGUGGAUAACCUACCUAUAAGACUGGGAUAACUUCGGGAAACCGGAGCUAAUACCGGAUAAUAUAUUGAACCGCAUGGUUCAAUAGUGAAAGACGGUUUUGCUGUCACUUAUAGAUGGAUCCGCGCCGCAUUAGCUAGUUGGUAAGGUAACGGCUUACCAAGGCAACGAUGCGUAGCCGACCUGAGAGGGGUAUCGGCCACACUGGAACGUGGACACGGUCCAGACCCCUACGGGAGGCAGCAGUAGGGAAUCUUCCGCAAUGGGCGAAAGCCUGACGGAGCAACGCCGCGUGAGUUAUGAAGGUCUUCGGAUCGUAAAACUCUUUUAUUAGGGAAGAACAAAUGUGUAAGUAACUAUGCACGUCUUGACGGUACCUAAUCAGAAAGCCACGGCUAACUACGUG
rnacentral:rRNA from 1 species